UACGUAGGGUGCAAGCGUUGUCCGGAAUUAUUGGGCGUAAAGAGCUCGUAGGCGGUCUGUCACGUCGGCUGUGAAAACCCGAGGCUCAACCUCGGGCCUGCAGUCGAUACGGGCAAACUAGAGUACUGCAGGGGAGACUGGAAUUCCUGGUGUAGCGGUGAAAUGCGCAGAUAUCAGGAGGAACACCGGUGGCGAAGGCGGGUCUCUGGGCAGUAACUGACGCUGAGGAGCGAAAGCCAGGGGAGCAAACGGG
rnacentral:rRNA from 1 species